ensembl:lncRNA novel transcript
AUGGCCAGUUCUACCAAAGAUGGGUUCCGCUGCAUGAUCCCCGAGACACCCGCGCCGGGACCAAGGGUUUCAUUAAGGUCACCUUGUCCGUGAGGGCGCGCGGGGACCUGCCCCCUCCAAUGCUACCCCCGGCCCCAGGGCACUGUUCGGACAUCGAGAAGAACCUGCUCCUGCCGCGCGGGGUGCCCGCCGAGAGGCCAUGGGCGCGGCUCCGCGUGCGCCUGUACCGCGCCGAGGGGCUUCCCGCGCUGCGCCUGGGGCUGCUGGGCAGCCUGGUCCGCGCCCUGCACGACCAGCGCGUCCUGGUGGAGCCCUAUGUGCGGGUGUCUUUCCUGGGGCAGGAGGGCGAGACGUCGGUGAGCGCCGAGGCGGCGGCGCCCGAAUGGAACGAGCAGCUGAGCUUCGUGGAGCUCUUCCCGCCGCUGACGCGCAGCCUCCGCCUGCAGCUGCGGGACGACGCGCCCCUGGUCGACGCGGCACUCGCUACGCACGUGCCGGACCUGAGGCGGAUCUCCCAUCCGGGCCGCGCGGCGGGGUUUAACCCUACCUUCGGCCCGGCCUGGGUGCCCCUCUAUGGCUCGCCCCCCGGCGCGGGGCUCCGGGAUAGUCUUCAAGGUCUCAACGAAGGCGUUGGCCAAGGCAUUUGGUUCCGCGGCCGCCUUCUGCUGGCUGUGUCCAUGCAGGUGUUGGAAGGGAGAGCUGAACCUGAGCCUCCCCAGGCCCAGCAGGGGUCCACGUUGUCCCGGCUCACCCGAAAGAAGAAAAAGAAAGCCAGAAGGGAUCAGACCCCAAAGGCGGUUCCGCAGCACUUGGACGCCAGCCCCGGUGCCGAGGGGCCUGAGAUCCCCCGUGCCAUGGAGGUGGAGGUGGAGGAGCUGCUGCCGCUGCCAGAGAAUGUCCUGGCGCCCUGUGAAGAUUUCCUGCUUUUCGGUGUGCUCUUCGAGGCCACCAUGAUCGACCCCACCGUGGCCUCCCAGCCCAUCAGCUUCGAGAUCUCCAUUGGUCGCGCAGGCCGUCUGGAGGAGCAAUUGGGCCGAGGGUCCAGGGCUGGGGAGGGAACUGAGGGUGCAGCCGUGGAGGCUCAGCCUCUGCUGGGAGCCAGGCCAGAGGAGGAGAAAGAGGAGGAAGAACUGGGGACCCAUGCUCAGCGGCCUGAGCCCAUGGACGGCAGUGGGCCAUACUUCUGCUUGCCCCUCUGUCACUGCAAGCCAUGCAUGCAUGUGUGGAGUUGCUGGGAGGACCACACCUGGCGCCUGCAGAGCAGCAACUGCGUGCGCAAAGUGGCCGAGAGGCUGGACCAGGGGCUGCAGGAGGUUGAGAGACUGCAGCGCAAGCCGGGGCCUGGCGCCUGUGCACAGCUCAAGCAGGCACUGGAAGUACUGGUGGCUGGGAGCAGACAGUUUUGCCACGGUGCCGAGCGCAGGACGAUGACCCGGCCCAAUGCCCUGGAUCGAUGCCGAGGGAAACUCCUGGUGCACAGCCUGAACCUUUUGGCUAAGCAAGGACUGCGACUUCUACGCGGCCUGAGACGGCGCAAUGUGCAAAAGAAGGUGGCACUGGCCAAGAAGCUCCUGGCAAAACUGCGCUUUCUGGCUGAGGAGCUUUUUGCAUACCGCCCCUUAGCUCUAGGCGAGGAUCCA